CCAGGGUCGCGGCGGACAGAGAGAGGCCGAAACUCAGAAGAGCGAAGAGAGCUUCCCUGCCGAUUGAGGGGCUCUGCCGGGAGACCUGAGGGACCUCCUCCCUCACCUCCAGACUGAAAGAAAAGACUGAGACCUCCCCCAACCCUCCAGGGACUGGCGGGACCCCCCCACCUAGAGACUGGAGGGACACCCCCCUCACAGCCUCCGGAGACUGGGACCCUCUCCACCACCCCCAUCCGAGACUGAGAGACUUCCCCAGCCCCCGCACCAGACGGACCCCUCUCCACCCUCAGAGACUGACUCCCUCCACCGUCCUCCCUCACUUCCCAGAGACUGAAAGGGGACCCCCCCUUUAGAGGCCGAGAGAUCUUUCAUCCUCCUUUGAAACGAGUCCCCCCUCCCCUCAGACCUCGGACUGACAGCCUUCUCCUCGAGAGACCUCCCUCACACUCCCAGAGACUGACCUCGGCCCUCCCCCCUUAGAGCUUGAGAGCCGCCUUCACCCCAAGGCUCAGAGAAGACUAAGGGGUCACUGCAGUGCUAGCUCAUUCCUACAGAAACUUAAGGAUUCCUCUCACACCUGGAGCCUGAGGGACCUUUCCUUACCUAACCCAGGGUCUGAGGGUUCUCAGAACCCCCAAACCAAGACCAAAGGAACCCCCUCCACCCUAGAAACUGAAGGGCAAGACUGAGGGACUAGACUAAGGGACUCCACCUCACUCUGCCUAAGAGAGUAAGGAUUCUCUUCACCUUACUCUAGACACCGAGAGACUCCCCAGUCACCCCAACUCAUCCUGAGGACCUUCCUAUCCCACUGCAAAGACUGAAAGGCCCCCAACAGACCAAGGGACCCCUCUACUGUAGAGCUUGAGCGAUCCCCACAGACUGAGGGAGCCCUUCACCCUAUUUCAUAUAUGGUGAGGCCUCUCACAUCCCAGACUGAAGAAUUCUCAAAACUCCAUAGACUUAGGACCUCUCCUCAGCCUACCCCACAGACUUGGGGCUAGAAAACAAGAAACCCUCCACAACUCCCCAGAGAACAAAGGAUUCUUCAUAGGCUGAAGGAUCCCCCACCUUACUCCAGACCCUUUCCCAGACCCCAUAGACAGAGACCUUCAAACUCCAUAGCUCUUAGACCCCAUUCCAGAGACCAACAGACACUACAGACUUGGGAACCAACCUUGCACAAUCUAGAAACCAAGGGAUCGUCUUCACACCCUCAGAGACCAAAGUAUCUUCCCAGACAUUACAUUAAGGAACCCCCCCAUCCAGAUUCCACACACCAGGAGACUUCCUCCAUAGACCUCAUAAGCUUAAGAGCUCUUUCCUCCAUCCUCCAGAUGGAAUGAAUCUACUAGAGACCAUAGGACCUUCUCAGAUCAUCUAUACUGUGGGACCCCCCAAUCCUCUAGAGAUUCCACAAAGUAAAGGAUUCUCUUCAUGCCACCACAAGAUUCCAUAGACCAAGGAACAAGCCUCCCAGAGACCCAUUAGUCUGAGGACUCUAAACAAAGGGCCCCCUUCAAGACUCUACAGAUUGGGGCUCCCUUCUCUUAAAUAACUCUCCCUUAGCUUCUUCAGAGCCCCAUAGCUCAAGGGAUUCUACUUCAGCAACUCAAGACUCUACAGGGGCCCCUCUUUUCUUUCCCCAAGACCUCAUAGACUGAGGGACCUUUCCCCAGCCUCUCCUUCAGGCCUAUAGUCUGAGGAACCCAUACCCAUAUAUAAUCCCCCAGAGAGCUAGCCCAUAGACCAAGGGAUUCCAACUCAGCUUUCCCCACAGAGGGAUCCCCCUCCCCAAUCAAGUACUCCCAACAGAGGUACCCAUCUGCCUAGAGACUCUUUGGGAUUCCCUUUAGCCUCUCCCCAGUCAAAGAUUUCAGAAAUUGAGGGGUAUCUUCCAAAGACCCAACAGAGGGAUCCCUAUGAGUAUCUCUCUAUAGAGUGAUGCCUCCCUCUUCCACCAGUCAAACUUCACAAAAGGGUCCUCCCCUCAGCCUCUCUCAAGGAGAACAGAGCUCUUUCAGUAACUGUCUCCCCAGUUGAUUCUCAGAGGGGCUCAUUUCCUACCCCUCAUUCAUAGAAUCCACGGGCUCUAAGACCAAGGUAUUCUUUUUCUUGCUGCUUCCCAGUUAAAACCUUUCCCUUCAGGCUCUCCUUAGCAAGAGACCCCAAAGUAGGACUCUAGGAAUCUUUCUCUUAGAACCCCGAUCCAUAAACACCCAAUAGAAGGACUCUGUUUGCUCUGCAUUCAUAAAGAGGAGCUUAAAAUCCAAGACGAGCUUCCCUUAGCCUUGUAGCCCUGCCCUCCCCAGACCUAACAGGUGCCAGAUACCAAGGCACCUUCUCAUCCUCUACUCCCAUUUCAGAGACCUCCCACAGCAAAGUGGCUUAGGGAGUCGGGCACCUUCCCCUUCAUGAACUCCUUCCUUUCAGCCCUGUGAGAGACCUAGGCACCCUCCCUCCCAAUUCAGGGUCUCCACAGAAUGUCUCGGCCUGAAAUCCUCUUGGCCGAACUGAGGCCCAGAAACACAUCGUUGCUUGCCCAGGGGUCAAAGGGUUUACCAACAGGAAACUGCAUUUCCUAGGCCCAGGUCCAGAUAGCACAGAUAGAUGUGGUUUUCUCUUUGAGACCUUUAAUGUCAGCUAUGGGAGGAGGUGGGGAGAGGCAAAGCCAGAAAUGAGAGAGGAACAUGUGACGUCUUAAGGACGGCGGGACCAACGCCGAAGAAGCUCCUGGCUCAGCAGCUCCUGCUCUCUCCUUGCCCCUUGAAGCACACUUCUAUUCUCCUGGGCCCGACGAAGCAGCUCCAGUCGUGUCUAAGGCAGAAUCGGUACCCAGCUUCGUCCUGACCCUGUGCCAGUCCAGCAUUCCCUCCACCACGCCAAAUGUUUUGGUGUCAGGUCAGUGUGUGACCACAUUGUGCCUGUGCGUUGGGAAACGGCGGUCAGACUGCACCUGGCAGGGGCAAGAGCCAAACCAAGAUUCCUAUAAUUUUACGGGGAGGCGGGGAGUAGUACAUGAGGCCACUCCGAAGUCUUUUUUCAAGGCUUUUUUUGGCCCCGUACCCAUUCAAGUGACAAAUGCACAAGUCUGAAACUUCUUAUUUCACGUGUGGACUAGGGGGACGCCCUGAUGAGCCACGAUGUCGGAGCAAUGUCCAGUGCGCUUCCGUAUCCCUAGAUCAAAAUGGAACCAGGGCCGGCCACAUUUCUAUAAGGAGCAGUCCAAGAGCUUGAGAGUGACUUUUACACUGGAAAUGACAGUGCAAAAAGUGACGAACAGGGAGUUGGUGCACAAGACGAGGGAGGAGGUAGCGAGACAGGCUGGCACCGAUGAAGAGCAUCCUGGGCUGAGAAGGGCCCAGCAAGUGUGAUUUCGGUGAUCUCUGCAACAUCAUGAAAAAUGGGAGUCGCCUCCAAACUAACGGGCAGACGGCCUGACAUCUACCAAGGGAAGAAACAGUCUGCACACUGUAGACUGGUAAACUUGACUUUGCAACAGUUAAAAUUAGUUUCUCUGCCAAAAGUAUUGUAUUUUUAUGAGGUUUAUUAAAGAUUAAGAAAUAAAGAAAAUACAAAAUAAGAAAAGCACAUGUCUAGGAGGGCUGAAAAGCCCAUUCAAUUUCACUUACUACAUCUUUUUUUUUUUUUAAGGCAAUGGGGGUUAAGUGACUUGCCCAGGGUCACACAGCUGAGAAGUGUCUGAGGCCAGAUUCACUUACUACAUCUUGAAAGAUGCAUGUGCUUAGAAGUGGAAACAGGGAGAGGGGCAAAGAAGGCGGAGAGUCAAUUUAAAUACAAAUUGUGUUCUCGCACUCAGAACCAAGACCAGUUCAUGGACAACAGACGAACAGGGGCUGGGGAGAGCUCUUGGCAUCCACCCUUCAAACACUUUCCUCACUGCCACCAGCAGGUGAGAAGGCAGAAAGAAGGGGGCUGAAGAAAGACGAGGUCGAUGGAUCCAUUUUAAAUAUCUCCCCAGUUCUGUCUAGGAAGCUGCAGCCAGUUGAAGAGGCUCCUCUUCAUCAUGAGGUUAGCAGACCAGAACUAGUUACAGAAUGUCUACACAUGUUCCAAAGUCCAUGUGGGAAUGACAUCAGCUGAGCACUCCCAACACGGGCCCGUUACACCGGCCAUUGCCUCCUCGCUGCCUGCUGGUUCAGAGGGAGAAGCCCCUGACAGGCCAGGAGACAGCCCAGCCUUCUUGGACACCCCAAGAACAAAACAAGACCACAAAAACCUCCCUGACAAACGGAGCGGUCCAAAGGCAGAAUGAAGUGCUGGCUUUGCCGGGCCAUCAAAGUCCCUCCCGAGGCUCACAUUCUGUGAUUCCAGAGAAGGGAGAGACGGAAGCUCGCGUGUGCCAAGCCAGACAACGACCACCGUCUUCCCUCGGACCCCUGAACCCCAACACUAUCUUUCUAGGAAGCAACCUUAUGGAGCUGAAGCCCGGCAGCCGCUUCCGUAUAUAGAUGCUGAAGGCAGAAUCGGAGACCAAAUUUGUCAAAAGUGGCAUAAAAGACAUUAUCUUAUUUCAUGGCCAACUUGCUGGUUCCCCCCAAGGACCACGGGACCUCUCCGUCUUCCAUCUGUGUAUAUGACCCAUCCGAAAGGGAGCUCCCUGAGGGCAGGGACUGUCUUUUCCCAGUGGCCUGCACCGUGUUUUGCACAUUAUAAGGGUUUAAUAAUUGCUUUCUAAGAUUCAUCCAAUGUCACAGAGAGUAAUGGUGGAUCCAGAAUUUGAACCUAGGUCUUCUGACUCCAGGUGGAAGUCUUUCCUCUAUACCAUACUACCCUCACUAGAAAUAAUGCUAGAAAAAUAGGCUCUAGAUAAACGGUGGGGAAUCUUUCGUGCCAACUUAAGGAUUUUUUAUCUUAUCCUUGAGGCAAUGGGAAAGACACCAAAAAUGUUCACUCAGCCCUGCUAUCCCCUCAAACUAUAUCUUCUCCUUUCAUGGCCACUCUCAGGGGGGAAAUUUGUUUAUAUUCAUUUUACUUUAUUUCUUUACAUUCUACUCACUUCUUGAUCCUUUGCAAACUGGCCUUCAGAAAAGCAAAUAGUGUCCCGGGCUUCUAGUCAUGAAGACCUGAGUUAAAAUCUAGCUCCAGAUACUUGCUGUGUGACCUUGGGAAAGUCACCUAACCUCAAUUUUCUCAACUACAAAAUGGGGAUCAUAAUGGCACCUACCUUGCAGGUUUUUAUUUUGCCUCUCCUUUUUAUCCCCUUUGCCAGAGCAUCAUUCAUGUCUUAUUACCUAUAAAUGGAUGUACCCCGGAACUCCUUCCUGAGCCCCUUCUUCUCUCCCUCUAUUCUUUCUUAGGAUCAUAUCAGCUCUCAUGGGUUCAGGUAUCUCUACCCAGAUGAUUCCCAAAGCUGCAUAUCUAGAUCUUAUCAUUCUCCAUCCCUCAUAACCAGUUGCCUUUUGGCAUCUCCAUCUAGAUGCCCCAGAGGCCUCUCAAAAUCAGUGUAUCCAAAAUAGAAUUCUUUAUCUUUAAUCUCUAAACUUACUCCUCUUCCUGUCUACCCUGUUUUUCUUUUUCUUUCUUUUUUUUUAACCCUCACUUUCUGUCUUGGAGUCAAUACUGUGUAUUGGCUCCAAGGCAGAAGAGUGGUCAGGGCUAGGCAAUGGGGGUCAAGUGACUUACCCAGGGUCACACAGCUGGGAAGUGUCUGAGGCCAGAUUUGAACCCAGGACCUUCUGUCUCUAGACCUGGCUCUCAAUUCACUGAGCUACCCAGCUACCCCCUGUCUACCCCGUUUUUCUUGCAGGAACCACCAUUUUUAGGUCAUGGAACCUUGAUAUAAUCCUCAAUUCUUCCCUCUUCCUUAAUUCCCAUAUUUAGUUUCUAAGUCCUAUGGACUCUACCAGCACCAUGUAUCUCUCAUCAGUCCUUUCCUCAAUUUGUGCAGCUACCACCCUAUUUCAGGUCCUCAUCACCUCUAUCCUGAGCUGUAACAAGAGCCUCCUAACCGGUCCCUCUGCCUUCACUUUCUCACCUUUCCAAAUACAGCUGUCAAAUUUUUUUAGUUGAAUUUUUUUUCAGAAUUCAAACACAAAGCACUUACAUAUAUGCAAGCAGAGUACAAAAAAGAUUGUGUAUAAAAAUGAAUCUAUUUAAAAAGUGGUAAGAUUCUUUUUUAAAAGCUAAUCUUGGUGUACUAAUUGCUCUCAAUCAAUAAUCACUUGUUUUUUAAAUAAAAAGUAUGUAAUAAAUUCAAUGUUACUUUGCAAAGGCAUCC